rnacentral:misc_RNA from 1 species
AAGCUCCAGGAGCUCGAGGAGCUCAGAACUCGGGGCCGAGCUAGAGAGAGACCAGAAGACUCAAACCUGUCUGCUCGUGAGCGAUUUAAUGUUAACUUUAAUCCUAACAUUCGGCCUCAAAGACAGCUCUCUAUUCGAGAGCAAAUUCGGAACUCUCGGAGAGCUAGGAGACAUCAUUCAGAUUUACAGCUAUCCCAGCAUUCCCCUUUCAUUACAGAGACAUCAGCAGUGUCAUCAACAGAGGCUACAGGAGACCAGGCUACUACUAGUGCUCUCAAUCCCUCAGCCUGGGACUCAGCCUUUACUGAUGAUCGCAGUGAACGCAUGAAAAGACUUAAAGAGCUAGACAAGAUUCGUAAGGAGGGUCGAGACAGUUCGAGUUUUGACUCAGACAUUCUGAGUCCAAGGGAUCGCCGGAAUUCUGCUCAGUCUGAUCAACUCUCCUCAUUGUUUUCGUCAAGUCGUGUACAGCCAACGUUCUCAUCAGCAGGUAGCCUGUUCCCGCUAUCAUCUAACUACAGUGAAAGCUUGCCCUCUCUUGUCAACACAAACUUGUCUAUAGACACCCCUAUGGUCAGCUUAUUUGGUCGUGAAAGAAGUAUUUUUUCUUCUGGUCCCACUUUGACCCGUUCAACAUCCCUUUCUACACAAGAAGUGAUCGCACGAGCCAGGGAGGUGAUCAACACAUCCGGAACAGCUUCUCUUGCCGCCAGCUCAGAGAGUGAUGUCCGACCAUCACGUGGUGAGCUGAAUCUCAACCUAGAUUUUUCCUCUGAACCGCUGUUGGAGGAGCAUGGAGAAUAUGACAGAACAAGUGCUGUAGAUCAAAUACGGGAAGCCAGAGCCGAGGCUAAUCCCCGAGUCCAUGACGUCCCACUAGAUUUGAACCACAAAGAUGGAGCUUCCUGUGUGAAUGCCAUGCGUGAGGCCAUCGACGAGACCUACAGGAAGCGCUACAAAAGUCGGGGGCUGCCAAGUGAUGUUGCUGACCAUUUCCUCGCAGACUGUUUCGACCCAAAAUAUACGUUCGAGGAGCGCAUUGUUCUUAUAAGGAAAAAACUGUGGGGUGAUCCCCCAGCUGUUAAGUGUGAGAGGGGGCACCCUGAUGGAGCCUCUACGACUGAAACUGAAACCAAUAAAACCCCCGAAUCGGGCCCCACCUCUCAAUUGGGGACCGACAACGUCAAGGUUAUCUAGAGCUGACUGCAGACAGACACGCCAUGGUGUUUACAUUGUUCACUCGAACUUGUUUUAUGAGUCUCUUGAAAUCUUACAAGGUUUCGGAGUUUUAUUGCCAGACAAACUUUUAAAGCUCAAAUACAAGAUUUAUUGUAAGGGAAAUGCUUUAUGGCCUGGUUUUUUGGUUCAUAUCUUAAAAUGACAUGAAAUUGAUCCUUUAAAAUUUUACUUUCAGGUGACUUGUUUUCAAAUAAAUAAGUUUGUCAUGCU